AACGAACGCUGGCGGCAUGCCUAACACAUGCCAGUCGAACGAGACCUUCGGGUCUAGUGGCGCACGGGUGCGUAACGCGUGGGAACCUGCCCUUAGGUUCGGAAUAACUCCCCGAAAGGGGUGCUAAUACCGGAUAAUGUCUUCGGACCAGAGAUUUAUCGCCUUUGGAUGGGCCCGCGUUGGAUUAGCUAGUUGGUAGGGUAAAAGCCUACCAAGGCGACGAUCCAUAGCUGGUCUGAGAGGAUGAUCAGCCACACUGGGACUGAGACACGGCCCAGACUCCUACGGGAGGCAGCAGUGGGGAAUAUUGGACAAUGGGCGAAAGCCUGAUCCAGCAAUGCCGCGUGAGUGAUGAAGGCCUUAGGGUUGUAAAGCUCUUUUACCCGGGAUGAUAAUGACAGUACCGGGAGAAUAAGCGCCGGCUAACUCCGUG
rnacentral:rRNA from 1 species